rnacentral:rRNA from 1 species
GAUGAACGCUGGCGGCGUGCCUAAUACAUGCAAGUCGAGCGAACAGACGAGGAGCUUGCUCCUCUGACGUUAGCGGCGGACGGGUGAGUAACACGUGGAUAACCUACCUAUAAGACUGGGAUAACUUCGGGAAACCGGGGCUAGUACCGGAUAAUAUAUUGAACCGCAUGGUUCAAUAGUGAAAGACGGUUUUGCUGUCACUUAUAGAUGGAUCCGCGCCGCAUUAGCUAGUUGGUAAGGUAACGGCUUACCAAGGCAACGAUGCGUAGCCGACCUGAGAGGGUGAUCGGCCACACUGGAACUGAGACACGGUCCAGACUCCUACGGGAGGCAGCAGUAGGGAAUCUUCCGCAAUGGGCGAAAGCCUGACGGAGCAACGCCGCGUGAGUGAUGAAGGUCUUCGGAUCGUAAAACUCUGUUAUUAGGGAAGAACAAAUGUGUAAGUAACUAUGCACGUCUUGACGGUACCUAAUCAGAAAGCCACGGCUAACUACGUG